UACGUAGGGGGCUAGCGUUGCUCGGAAUCACUGGGCGUAAAGCGCACGUAGGCGGCUUGCUAAGUCAGGGGUGAAAUCCUGGAGCUCAACUCCAGAACUGCCUUUGAUACUGGCGAUCUUGAGUCCGGGAGAGGUGAGUGGAACUGCGAGUGUAGAGGUGAAAUUCGUAGAUAUUCGCAAGAACACCAGUGGCGAAGGCGGCACACUGGCCCGGUACUGACGCUGAGGUGCGAAAGCGUGGGGAGCAAACAGG
rnacentral:rRNA from 1 species